rnacentral:rRNA from 1 species
GUGGGGAAUCUUGCGCAAUGGGCGAAAGCCUGACGCAGCCAUGCCGCGUGAAUGAUGAAGGUCUUAGGAUUGUAAAAUUCUUUCACCGGGGACGAUAAUGACGGUACCCGGAGAAGAAGCUCCGGCUAACUUCGUGCCAGCAGCCGCGGUAAUACGAAGGGGGCUAGCGUUGCUCGGAAUUACUGGGCGUAAAGCGCACGUAGGCGGACUUUUAAGUCAGGUGUGAAAUCCCGGGGCUCAACCUCGGAACUGCAUUUGAAACUGGAAGUCUUGAGAUCAGGAGAGGUUAGCGGAAUACCGAGUGUAGAGGUGAAAUUCGUAGAUAUUCGGUGGAACACCAGUGGCGAAGGCGGCUAACUGGACUGAUACUGACGCUGAGGUGCGAAAGUGUGGGGAGCAAACAGGAUUAGAAACCCUAGUAGUCC